CUAUGCAAACGGGAAAGCCGAGGGUGGGAGGGCGUUGAUUGGCUCUGGUUCCGCCCUGUGAGGUUUGUGUGUGUGUUGCUUUCCCAGGCGCUUGUUAUUGUUUGGGGGAAGGGGAGCGAGUGUUGAGUCGUGGAGAGGCUUUGGGAGCUGCUUUAUUUCGCCUGCUGAAGAGACAAGUAGUGAAGCGGCUGCCUGCAUGGGGAACUGCCAUACAGUGGGGCCAAAUGAAGCCCUGGUCGUAUCAGUUCUGGCAGUGCUGAUGGCUUGUUUUUGCCUGUAGCAGUCCAUUCGACAUGGAAGCAAAGAAGUGCAAUUUAUUUCUGUACAAUCAGUGGAAAUCCUGGAUAAUUACAUACCUGAACUGUAAAGGCCAGUGUCUCCCGGGACAUGUAUGAAUGUGAAUGUUUAACUGCAAUGAAAAUGAAACUGUCAAAGCCAGGGAUCCCGUGUGGUGGCGACAUUGAUGGCAGACGCAGGUGGAUGAGUUGUUGAGAGGUGCAGCUUGCCAUAGAGGGUAUGAUGUCAAUUGGCCCAGGUUGUUGUAUUGUCCAGGCAGUAUUGAUGUUUUCCCAUAUUAGAACCAAUGCCUUACUCCUGCCAACUCCAGCUGGGAUCCACGUGGGAGAAAUCUGCCAAGUUGGUUUCCUCGUUCCGAAUUUGAGAGGAGAAUGACAGCGGGAUUUCAGUGAAGUCAUCUGCUGAUGGCUAUAUGAAAGGAAACAAGAUUUCCUUUGCGAAGAAUCAUUUGCAUUAAAGAUUUCCCGCUGGCAUACUCCAGGACGAAGAAGGAUUCCAGCUGUUAAAGAGAGAAUAGAAGAAGGUGAGACCUAGAACAUCCAGCCUCCCACCCAAAAACUUUAAAACUGUCUGAAUAGAAGUGGUAAUGUGAAUAAGUGGAAAGCAACAUCUUAGCGCUCCAUGGAGAUAUAGAAACAGCCAUGUAUGAGGAGCAAAUGAGACCCCACCGCAUAGUUUGUCUAACACUGGUCUAAUUAUGCUAAAAGAGAUAAGGACAUCAGAAAAUAACCUUUUUCAUUAUCUUUCAUAACAUUGUCUUUGAAUGUGAUUUAUAAUUUUGCCAUAAAAAUAUUUGCCGGAA